rnacentral:rRNA from 1 species
ACAUGCAAGUCGAACGGUGAAGCCCAGCUUGCUGGGUGGAUCAGUGGCGAACGGGUGAGUAACACGUGAGCAACCUGCCCUCCACUUCGGGAUAAGCCUUGGAAACGGGGUCUAAUACCGGAUAUGAGCAUCUGCCGCAUGGUGGGUGUUGGAAAGUUUUUCGGUGGAGGAUGGGCUCGCGGCCUAUCAGCUUGUUGGUGGGGUGAUGGCCUACCAAGGCGUCGACGGGUAGCCGGCCUGAGAGGGCGACCGGCCACACUGGGACUGAGACACGGCCCAGACUCCUACGGGAGGCAGCAGUGGGGAAUAUUGCACAAUGGGCGAAAGCCUGAUGCAGCGACGCCGCGUGAGGGAUGACGGCCUUCGGGUUGUAAACCUCUUUCAGCAGGGAAGAAGGCUUCGGUUGACGGUACCUGCAGAAGAAGCGCCGGCUAACUACGUGCCAGCAGCCGCGGUAAUACGUAGGGCGCAAGCGUUGUCCGGAAUUAUUGGGCGUAAAGAGCUCGUAGGCGGUCUGUCGCGUCUGGUGUGAAAACCCGAGGCUCAACCUCGGGCUUGCAUCGGGUACGGGCAGACUAGAGUGCGGUAGGGGAGACUGGAAUUCCUGGUGUAGCGGUGGAAUGCGCAGAUAUCAGGAGGAACAUCGAUGGCGAAGGCAGGUCUCUGGGCCGCAACUGACGCUGAGGAGCGAAAGCAUGGGGAGCGAACAGGAUUAGAUACCCUGGUAGUCCAUGCCGUAAACGUUGGGCACUAGGUGUGGGGCUCAUUCCACGAGUUCCGUGCCGCAGCUAACGCAUUAAGUGCCCCGCCUGGGGAGUACGGCCGCAAGGCUAAAACUCAAAGGAAUUGACGGGGGCCCGCACAAGCGGCGGAGCAUGCGGAUUAAUUCGAUGCAACGCGAAGAACCUUACCAAGGCUUGACAUGCACCGGACGCUGCCAGAGAUGGUGGUUUCCGCAAGGUCGGUGCACAGUGGGUGCAUGGUUGUCGUCAGCUCGUGUCGUGAGAUGUGGGUUAAGUCCCGCAACGAGCGCAACCCUCGUCCCAUGUUGCAGCGGUUAUGCCCGGGGACUUCAUGGGAGACUGCCGGGGUUCACUCGGAAGGAAGGCGGGAAUGC